CGUCAAAAAUUCUAUUCCCUAUUCCUAUUGCCUGUUGCCUGGUAUUGUGUGAUAAGCCCAUGCCACAUUUUGCAGCAUGCUUACACUGGUCGGUGGGCCCAUGGACGUAAUGAAUAUAUGGACGGAACGUUAGGUGUCACGAUGAGCGAGGGGGGUCGUUGAUCAGGAGUGAAGAGAGUCAUUUGUGGCAUUUCGGGUACAUUCGGUCAGUUUCGUAUAUAUUCGGGCAGGUUGUGUUAGCCGCAUAUCGCAUUAUCUCGCAAGCAUCAAACAUCUCAAGUGCUAUCACGCUACAACAAAAAUGAGUUUUUGUAUCAUAACCGGUUGUACAAAUCGUAUGAAAAACAAAAAUCAUGAACAAAUAGAAAAAGAAAAAAAAGGAAGAUUUCAUUCCACAUUUUUCCUAAAAACAUAGAGAGGAAACAAAAGUGGCUCGAGUCACUAAACAUACAAAAUUAUGAUCCACCAAAAUCAGCAGCUGUGUGUUCGGAACAUUUUAAGGAACAAGAUUAUGAAUCGAACCAUUCUUACAGGAAAUAGAAAAAAGAUGCUAUUCCAUGUUUAACUGAAGAUGCUAUAAAUGAUAAAGAAAAUAUUGAUAAUACAAAUAAUACAAAAAUAAUAAUACAGAAUUCCGUAAUACAACAUAAGGAUACACAAGGCGCAACAUCAAUUGUGGAAAAUAUGUACAAUGAUAAAGAAGGU